ACGUCACAGCGCUCUCACCGCGUACCGUCACCCCACACGCUGCCGUCUUUCUCUCAAAACCCGGGAACCCGAACGGCAGGACACCGCGCUCUGCUAUGGAUUUUUACUAAAACUCUAAAGUGUGACUAAAGAAAUGCCUGGGAGAAACACACACACACACACACACACACACACACACACACUCUAUCACAAACACACAUGUUCUCUCUCUCUCCCCUCUGGUCUGAACUGGCCUCGUAUGCAGGACACUGACCUGCGGCUCGGUCGGCCGUGUUGCUCCCGUUAAUGCCUCUCCCUGUGAGCCCCCCCACCCCCCCACCGCCUACCCAGUGUUCAGACUACCUGUUCAUUAUGCUGCAGCUGAACAGUAGUCCGCACAUUGGUUAGGCUGGGCCGGGACACACACGCAUCAGAAAAGACCAGGCUAUAACUUUCUAUCUUUGAGAUGCAGGACAGAGACUCAGCGGUCAGGACGAACCAGUACUCCUUGGAUCCUCCCUUCAUGAAGCUGAUGUUGAUGGUGAGCCAGCCUUUACGGAUCACCUGCAUAGAGGGGCGAAAGAGAAAACGUCACACACGCACGGGCGCAAACACACACGCACACGUGCACACACACACACACACACGCACACACGUACUCACGCACACAGCUCACACUUACCUGUACCGUUUUAACAGGGACAACAUUCUGUACAGCGUUUUGGCAAAAUUCUUCUUCUUUCUUUCUUGUUUUUACUAUUCAUUAGCUUUUAUUAAAUGUAUUCAAUGUUUUGUUUUUUAAUUUGUAUUUCUGACAUUUAUGAUAUUAAAAAAAUUGUCAUUUUAA